UACUGGGUGUAAAGGGCGCGCAGGCGGGUCGGUCAGUCAGAGGUGAAAGCCUGCAGCUUAACUGCAGAACUGCCUUUGAUACUGCCGAUCUUGAGUUCGGAAGAGAGAAGCGGAAUUCCAGGUGUAGUAGUGAAAUACGUAGAUAUCUGGAAGAACACCGGUGGCGAAGGCGGCUUCUUGGUCCGCAACUGACGCUCAGGCGCGAAAGCGUGGGUAGCAAACAGGAUUAGAGACCCCUGGUAGUCCACGCUGUAAACGAUGAUUACUAGGUGUCGGAUGGUAACAUUCGGCGCCGCAGCUAACGCAUUAAGUAAUCCACCUGGGGAGUACGAUCGCAAGGUUGAAACUCAAAGGAAUUGACGGGGGCCCGCACAAGCAGUGGAGCAAAUGUAAGAACAAGACGAGUACAAUCAGCACAGCUACGGCUUCGAAAUGGACAAUAUCAGUG
rnacentral:rRNA from 1 species